rnacentral:rRNA from 1 species
AGUGAACGCUGGCGGUAGGCCUAACACAUGCAAGUCGAACGGCAGCACAGUAAGAGCUUGCUCUUACGGGUGGCGAGUGGCGGACGGGUGAGGAAUACAUCGGCAUCUACUUUUUCGUGGGGUAUAACGUAGGGAAACUUUCGCUAAUACCGCAUACGACCUACGGGUGAAAGCAGGGGAUCUUCGGACCUUGCGCGAUUGAAUGAGCCGAUGUCGGAUUAGCUAGUUGGCGGGGUAAAGGCCCACCAAGGCGACGAUCCGUAGCUGGUCUGAGAGGAUGAGCAGCCACACUGGAAGUGAGACACGGUCCAGACGCAUACGGGAGGCAGCAGUGGGGAAUAUUGGACAAUGGGCGCAAGCCUGAUCCAGACAUACCGCGUGGGUGAAGAAGGCCUUCGGGUUGUAAAGCCCUUUUGUUGGGAAAGAAAAGCAGCAGGUUAAUACCCCGCUGUUCUGACGGUACCAAAAGAAUAAGCACCGGCUAACUUCGUG